GCUGGGUGCAGUGGUGCAUGCCUGUAGUCCCAGCUACUCGGAAGGCUGAGGUGGGAGGAUCGCUUGAGCCCAGGAGUUCUGGGCUGCAGUGCGCCAUGCCAAUCGUGUGUCCGCACUAAGUUCAGCAUCAAUAUGGUGACCUCCUGGGAGCGGGGAACCACCAGGUUGCCUAAGGAGGGGUGAACCAGCCCAGGUCAGAAACGGAGCAGGAGAAAACUCCUGUGCUGAUCAGUAGUGGGAUCACGCCUGUGAAUAGCCACUGCACUCCAGUCUGGGCAACAUAGCGAGACACCAUCUCU
rnacentral:SRP_RNA from 1 species